CAGGUUUACCUGUGUGACUGCGUACCUUUUGUAUAAUGGGUCAGCGACUUAUAUUCUGUAGCAAGGUUAACCGAAUAGGGGAGCCGGAGGGAAACCGAGUCUUAAUUGGGCGUUAAGUUGCAGGGUAUAGACCCGAAACCCGGUGAUCUAGCCAUGGGCAGGUUGAAGGUUGGGUAACACUAACUGGAGGACCGAACCGACUAAUGUUGAAAAAUUAGCGGAUGACCUGUGGCUGGGGGUGAAAGGCCAAUCAAACCGGGAGAUAGCUGGUUCUCCCCGAAAGCUAUUUAGGUAGCGCCUCGUGAAUUCAUCUCCGGGGGUAGAGCACUGUUUCGGCUAGGGGGCCAUCCCGGCUUACCAACCCGAUGCAAACUGCGAAUACCGGAGAAUGUUAUCACGGGAGACACACGGCGGGUGCUAACGUCCGUCGUGAAGAGGGAAACAACCCAGACCGCCAGCUAAGGUCCCAAAGUCAUGGUUAAGUGGGAAACGAUGUGGGAAGGCCCAGACAGCCAGGAUGUUGGCUUAGAAGCAGCCAUCAUUUAAAGAAAGCGUAAUAGCUCACUGGUCGAGUCGGCCUGCGCGGAAGAUGUAACGGGGCUAAACCAUGCACCGAAGCUGCGGCAGCGACACUCAGGUGUUGUUGGGUAGGGGAGCGUUCUGUAAGCCUGUGAAGGUGUGCUGUGAGGCAUGCUGGAGGUAUCAGAAGUGCGAAUGCUGACAUAAGUAACGAUAAAGCGGGUGAAAAGCCCGCUCGCCGGAAGACCAAGGGUUCCUGUCCAACGUUAAUCGGGGCAGGGUGAGUCGACCCCUAAGGCGAGGCCGAAAGGCGUAGUCGAUGGGAAACGGGUUAAUAUUCCCGUACUUGGUGUUACUGCGAAGGGGGGACGGAGAAGGCUAUGUUGGCCGGGCGACGGUUGUCCCGGUUUAAGCGUGUAGGUGUGUGUUCCAGGUAAAUCCGGUU
rnacentral:rRNA from 1 species